rnacentral:rRNA from 1 species
UACGUAGGGCGCAAGCGUUAUCCGGAAUUAUUGGGCGUAAAGAGCUCGUUGGCGGUUUGUCGCGUCUGCCGUGAAAGUCCGGGGCUCAACUCCGGAUCUGCGGUGGGUACGGGCAGACUAGAGUGAUGUAGGGGAGACUGGAAUUCCUGGUGUAGCGGUGAAAUGCGCAGAUAUCAGGAGGAACACCGAUGGCGAAGGCAGGUCUCUGGGCAUUAACUGACGCUGAGGAGCGAAAGCAUGGGGAGCGAACAGG